CUUAGAAAUGCCAAAAGCACAGCAGGCGUUCCUGCUGGGUGGUACGGAGGUUUUAUUCUCACAGCAGACAGGAAACUUCCAGCAUGCAGAAACCACCCUAUAAGCACAACAGCGGGCAGCCUCCGGAGCAUGUCUCUGCACGACUACCACACACCUAAUCAGUCCUGAUUAGAUGCACUGUGAGGGACGAGGGAGGCAGCCUCUCAGAAAUGAUGACACGACAGAAGAAAGCAAUGGGCUCCCUUAAAUAAAGCCUUCAUCAGGCACUGAGUAGAAA